UACGUAGGGUGCAAGCGUUGUCCGGAAUUAUUGGGCGUAAAGAGCUCGUAGGCGGUCUGUUGCGUCGGCUGUGAAAACCCGGGGCUCAACUCCGGGCCUGCAGCCGAUACGGGCAAACUAGAGUACUGCAGGGGAGACUGGAAUUCCUGGUGUAGCAGUGAAAUGCGUAGAUAUCGAGAGGAACACCAGUGGCGAAGGCGAGUCUCUGGACAAUUCCUGACGCUGAGGCACGAAAGCUAGGGGAGCAAACAGG
rnacentral:rRNA from 1 species